GUUUGAUCCUGGCUCAGGAUGAACGCUAGCUACAGGCUUAACACAUGCAAGUCGAGGGGUAGCAGGGUAGCAAUACCGCUGACGACCGGCGCACGGGUGAGUAACACGUAUCCAACCUACCAUUCACACGGGGAUAGCCUUUCGAAAGAAAGAUUAAUACCCGAUAGUAUAACGAUAAGGCAUCUUAUUGUUAUUAAAGAAUUUCGGUGUUUGAUGGGGAUGCGUUCCAUUAGAUUGUUGGUGAGGUAACGGCUCACCAAGUCUUCGAUGGAUAGGGGUUCUGAGAGGAAGGUCCCCCACAUUGGAACUGAGACACGGUCCAAACUCCUACGGGAGGCAGCAGUGAGGAAUAUUGGUCAAUGGACGAGAGUCUGAACCAGCCAAGUAGCGUGAAGGAUGAAGGCCCUAUGGGUCGUAAACUUCUUUUAUAGGGGAAUAAAGUGCGGAACGUGUUCCGCUUUGUAUGUACCCUACGAAUAAGGAUCGGCUAACUCCGUGCCAGCAGCCGCGGUAAUACGGAGGAUCCGAGCGUUAUCCGGAUUUAUUGGGUUUAAAGGGAGCGUAGGUGGAUAUAUAAGUCAGUUGUGAAAGUUUGCGGCUCAACCGUAAAAUUGCAGUUGAUACUGUAUGUCUUGAGUGUACAAGAGGUAGGCGGAAUUCGUGGUGUAG
rnacentral:rRNA from 1 species